GACGAACGCUGGCGGCGUGCUUAACACAUGCAAGUCGAACGGUGAAGCGCCUUCCUUUUUGGUGGGUGUGGAUGAGUGGCGAACGGGUGAGUAACACGUGAGUAACCUGCCCCCUUCUUCUGGAUAACCGCAUGAAAGUGUGGCUAAUACGGGAUAUUCUGGGUCUGUCGCAUGAUGGGUCUGGGAAAGAUAUUGUUUCGGUGGGGGAUGGGCUCGCGGCCUAUCAGCUUGUUGGUGGGGUGAUGGCCUACCAAGGCGGUGACGGGUAGCCGGCCUGAGAGGGUGGACGGUCACACAGGGACAGAGACACGGCCGAGACUCCUACGGGAGGCAGCAGUGGGGAAUAGUGCACAAUGGGCGCAAGCCUGAUGCAGCGACGCCGCGUGAGGGAUGGAGGCCUGCGGGUUGUGAACCUCUUUCGCCAGUGAAGCAGGCCUGCCUCGUAUGUGGGUGGGUUGACGGUAGCUGGAUAAGAAGCGCCGGCUAACUACGUG
rnacentral:rRNA from 1 species